rnacentral:rRNA from 1 species
UACGUAGGGUGCAAGCGUUAUCCGGAAUUAUUGGGCGUAAAGAGCUCGUAGGCGGUUUGUCGCGUCUGCUGUGAAAACUGGGGGCUCAACCUCCAGCCUGCAGUGGGUACGGGGCAGACUAGAGUGCGGUAGGGGAGAUUGGAAUUCCUGGUGUAGCGGUGGAAUGCGCAGAUAUCAGGAGGAACACCGAUGGCGAAGGCAGAUCUCUGGGCCGUAACUGACGCUGAGGAGCGAAAGCGUGGGGAGCGAACAGG